CUGUGACUCCUCACUAUAACCUUAUGAGGUAGGUAUGAGUUCCAUGUACAGAUGAAGAAACUAAGGCACAGAGAGGUUAAGCGACUUGCCCAGGGACAUACAGCUGGUAUGAAAUCUACUUCAUGGGAAAAAUGAAGGUAAUGGCUGGUCCCAGGUAAGAGCCACCCAAGGAGAAGGCUGCAGCCUGAAAGGUAUAGGGCAAGUCAAGAAAUGUGAAAAUAGAGAUACGACCUUCAACACUGACACCGUCCUUCCUGGCUACCUCUGCAGCUCCCAGAGGUGAGAGACAGACUGGAGUGUU
rnacentral:lncRNA from 13 species